rnacentral:rRNA from 1 species
UACGGGGGGAGCAAGCGUUGUUCGGAUUUACUGGGCGUAAAGGGCGCGUAGGCGGCCACCGCAAGUCGACUGUGAAAUCUCCGGGCUUAACCCGGAAAGGUCAGCCGAUACUGCGGGGCUAGAGUGCAGAAGGGGCAACUGGAAUUCUCGGUGUAGCGGUGAAAUGCGUAGAUAUCGAGAGGAACACCUGCGGCGAAGGCGGGUUGCUGGGCUGACACUGACGCUGAGACGCGAAAGCGCGGGGAGCGAACGGG